GAUCGCGUAGCUCAGCCCGGUAGAGCACUGCUCUGAUAACAUCAAAAUCGGAGAUUUUGGGGUGUCCGAAAUCCGAGAUUUCAGACAGGCAGGGGUCCCAGGUCCAAAUCCUGGCGCGAUCA
rnacentral:tRNA from 1 species